UUGACUCUGAUAGCCCACUUCCCUCGUAUUCUCCAUUUAUUGUCUCUCGUAUUUUCCUUUCAAACCCUUAAUAAGCGUUGUUGUAUUAUUGACCUUGAACGGAUCAAAGUCCAGUUAGAGUGAAAAAUGGCGGCAAAUGCAUGGGACUGAAUAUACUUUUGGCCGAUGAUAUACUUUUCUAGUCAACUUAACAGUGAUGGUAAGAAAGAUACAGAGUAAAUGGAAAGAAAAGUCCACUUUAGAGGCUAGCAAAUUGCGUGCAUACGUUCACCAAUUUGCGUAGAAAGUGCCUAGAACUAUCAAUACGAGUGCCUAGAACUGUGAAAUAUACAACCUCAAGAGAGAGAGAGAGAGAGAGAGAGAGAGAUUGAUUGAUUGAUUUCUCUUAUUAUUUUUCAAGAUAGUUUCCGUGAGGUGAUUUUUGUGUUAAUUUGGGUUCCUGGAUUUUGAGAGUUACUCUCUUGUGUGCUGUAUUGAUUACUGAAAAAACUAAAAUUUGUAAAUCAAAGGGAGAGAGGCUCACUCUUCAAGAAAGAAAGAAAGAAAGAAAGGAAGGAAUAUUAGUGAUUUGAAUGGAACGAUGCAAGGUAAGAGGUGGAUUUGCAGAAAAUCUUUAAUAAUAAUAAUAAUAAAAAAGAAGAAGCAGAGAGAGGAGAUACAAAUUAAAUGCAUAAAAUAUAAGUUGGGAAAUGAGAGCAUACGU